rnacentral:lncRNA from 1 species
UCAACCAAUUAUUUCUCCAAACAACUUCUAGUAUUUAAUUUCAUCUUAGAUUUCAUUUUAGUAGGCAAUGGGCCUCCACUGAAAGUUUCGAUUAGGUCCAACCAUUAACAUGAACCUACUCAGUGAUUCUAGCCAAAGAAUGAUCAGGUUCGAGUAUGGCUCGGUCAAUCUGACCACCAUCAAAUAGUUCAACAGAGUCAUCAUAUGAUGAAUGAUAAUUUCAUCAUUCAGAGAGAACACC